UACGUAGGGUGCAAGCGUUAUCCGGAAUUAUUGGGCGUAAAGAGCUCGUAGGCGGUUUGUCGCGUCUGCUGUGAAAACUGGAGGCUCAACCUCCAGCCUGCAGUGGGUACGGGCAAACUAGAGUGCGGUAGGGGAGAUUGGAAUUCCUGGUGUAGCGGUGAAAUGCGCAGAUAUCAGGAGGAACACCGAUGGCGAAGGCAGGUCUCUGGGCAUUAACUGACGCUGAGGAGCGAAAAGCAUGGGGGAGCGAACAGG
rnacentral:rRNA from 1 species